rnacentral:rRNA from 1 species
UUGUAAUUGGAAUGAUAGAAAUUUAAACCCUUUUUAAAGUAUCAAUUGGAGGGCAAGUCUGGUGCCAGCAGCCGCGGUAAUUCCAGCUCCAAUAGCGUAUAUUAAAAUUGUUGCAGUUAAAAAGCUCGUAGUUGAAGUUCUGCUGAAAGUAACCGGUCUGCUUUUAAUAAAAGUGGUAUCUUGGUAUGUAUUUAGCAAUGAUGUCCUUUGAAGUGUUUUUUACUUUAUUGUAAUAAAGCAUAUUCAGGACUUUUACUUUGAGAAAAAUUAGAGUGUUUCUAGCAGGCUGACGCUUUGAAUACUGCAGCAUGGAAUAAUAAGAUAGGAUUUUAGUUCUACAUUAUUGGUUUUAAGAGCUAAAUUAAUGAUUGAUAGGGACAGUUGGGGGCAUUUGUAUUUAACUGUCAGAGGUGAAAUUCUUAGAUUUGUUAAAGACAAACUACUGCGAAAGCAUUUGCCAAAGAUGUUUUCAUUAAUCAAGAACGAAAGUUAGGGGAUCGAAGACGAUCAGAUACCGUCGUAGUCUUAACUAUAAACUAUGCCGA